rnacentral:rRNA from 1 species
CUACGGGUGGCAGCAGUGGGGAAUAUUGGACAAUGGGGGAAACCCUGAUCCAGCAAUGCCGCGUGUGUGAAGAAGGCCUGCAGGUUGUAAAGCACUUUCGGUUGGGAGGACUGCUUCUAGCACUAAUAUUGUUGGAAGUUGACGUUACCUUCAGAAGAAGCACCGGCUAACUCCGUGCCAGCAGCCGCGGUAAUACGGCGGUGCAAGCGUUAAUCGGAAUUACUGGGCGUAAAGCGCGCGUAGGCGGCUAGAUCAGUCGGGUGUGAAAGCCCCGGGCUUAACCUGGGAACUGCAUCCGAUACUGGCUAGCUUGAGUACAGGGGAGGAGAGUGGAAUUCCACAUGUAGCGGUGAAAUGCGUAGAUAUGUGGGGGAACACCAAUGGCGAAGGCAGCUCUCUGGCCUGAUACUGACGCUGAGGUGCGAAAGCGUGGGGAGCAAACAGGAUUAGAUACCCCCGUAGUC